CGGGUUGGUUCUUCUCCAGCUGAGUAAAGCGGCGCUGAUCUGCACCCUCACUGUCUUCCUCCGGAUCCACAUAAAAUUCAGAAGCCAUGGUGAGUUCGUGACACAUUCCUUUAACUUUUUCCUGGUGAACAUUAUGGCUUGUUUGAAGCUAAUAGCCUGGCAUGAAAAAAAGUGAAACAGAAGGGGUGGAGGGAGUUGAACGGGGUCUCCCUUCUUCCCCCUGAACUCAGCACCAGGAUAUCAUUGUAUACUGUUCGAUGGCUUCUGGAAGUUGCUUUCUUCCCCUGAGCAGGCAUCAUCUCUCUGUUUUUCCUUUGCAGUCUCGAAGAUAUGACUCCAGGACCACAAUAUUUUCUCCAGAAGGUAAAUUAGAAAAUUUAACCUGCUCCAAAGGAAGUUGGGGUGUUUUAUUGUUGUUGCCUUAAGUAGUAGAUUUUUAGUGUUGGGGUUCAGUAUGGCGUUUAGCUACACGCAUUUUGGA
rnacentral:lncRNA from 1 species